rnacentral:rRNA from 1 species
CGUACACUCCUACGGGAGGCAGCAGUGGGGAAUUUUGGACAAUGGGCGCAAGCCUGAUCCAGCCAUGCCGCGUGCGGGAAGAAGGCCUUCGGGUUGUAAACCGCUUUUGUCAGGGAAGAAAAGGUUCUGGCUAAUACCUGGGACUCAUGACGGUACCUGAAGAAUAAGCACCGGCUAACUACGUGCCAGCAGCCGCGGUAAUACGUAGGGUGCAAGCGUUAAUCGGAAUUACUGGGCGUAAAGCGUGCGCAGGCGGUUAUGCAAGACAGAGGUGAAAUCCCCGGGCUCAACCUGGGAACUGCCUUUGUGACUGCAUGGCUAGAGUACGGUAGAGGGGGAUGGAAUUCCGCGUGUAGCAGUGAAAUGCGUAGAUAUGCGGAGGAACACCGAUGGCGAAGGCAAUCCCCUGGACCUGUACUGACGCUCAUGCACGAAAGCGUGGGGAGCAAACAGGAUUAGAUACCCUAGUAGUCCC